rnacentral:rRNA from 1 species
GACGAACCGUGCGAACGUUAUUCGGAAUCACUGGGCUUAAAGCGUGUGUAGGCGGAUCGUUAAGUGCCUUGUGAAAUCCCACGGCUUAACCGUGGAACUGCUUGGCAUACUGGCGAUCUUGAGCAACCUAGGGGCGAGCGGAACAAAUGGUGGAGCGGUGAAAUGCGUAGAUAUCAUUUGGAACGCCAAUGGUGAAAACAGCUCGCUGGGGGUUUGCUGACGCUGAGACACGAAAGCCAGGGGAGCAAACGGG